rnacentral:rRNA from 1 species
ACUCCUACGGGAGGCAGCAGUGAGGAAUCUUGGACAAUGGGCGAAAGCCUGAUCCAGCCAUGCCGCGUGAGUGAUGAAGGCCUUCGGGUUGUAAAGCUCUUUCAGAUGUGAAGAUAAUGACGGUAGCAUCAGAAGAAGCUCCGGCUAACUCCGUGCCAGCAGCCGCGGUAAUACGGAGGGAGCGAGCGUUGUUCGGAAUUACUGGGCGUAAAGCGUAUGUAGGCGGUUUUGUAAGUCAGAUGUGAAAUCCCAGAGCUUAACUUUGGAACUGCAUUUGAGACUGCAAGACUUGAAUAUCGGAGAGGUUGGCGGAAUUCCCAGUGUAGCAGUGAAAUGCGCAGAUAUUGGGAGGAACACUGAUGGCGUAGGCAGCCAACUGGACGAUUAUUGACGCUGAGAUACGAAAGCGUGGGGAGCAAACAGGAUUAGAUACCCUGGUAGUC